rnacentral:lncRNA from 10 species
CUCAAAGCUCUUAUUGCUCCCGGGAACUUCCCAUUUGAUCAUUUUCAGGUUUGUUUCCUCACCAUAAGGUGGGUCUGUAUCAGCUGACCCUUCCCACAGGAGGGAGGAGGAGUACAGGGCAAGGCGUGUAGCACAUGGCAGGUGCAUAAUAAGCACUUGAGGAGGGGAGGAAAGGAUGAGCUACAGAGAGCAGUAGAUCUGAGGUUCCAACCAGGGAAGGCAAGCCUGGUAAGGAGAGGGAGGCUGCUGGUGGCUGGGAUGGUAUUCAGAGGGGGCCUUGCUGGAAGCAGGAGGCCAAGGUGGGCCCAGCAUCCAAUCCAGCUAAGAGCAUCUCACCCUGUACCUCCCGCUCCUAAGUCUGCUGACAACCUGGAAGCAAGAAUCUAUCUUUGGCUGGCCAGGCACUGUGGCUCACGCCUGUAAUCCCAGCAUCUUUGGGAGGCCGGCGGGUGGAUCACUUGAGGUCAGGAGUUUGAGACCAUCCUGGGCAACAUGGUGAAAUGCCGUCUCUAUCAAAAAUACAAAAAUUAGCUGGACAUGGUGGCACAUGCCUGUAACCUGUAAUCCCAGCUACUUGGGAGGCGGAAGUUGCAAUGAGCCGAGAUCACGC